rnacentral:rRNA from 1 species
AUGCAGCACCUUCUGGUUGGAUGCUCCCUCUCCCGCCAAAUUUGGCACGAGGUGCUCUCGUGGUGCCGGUCCACCGCACCCAUCCCCAACCCCGACAAGGAGUUCACCGGGUGGCUAUCCUCUACUCUCUUUGACACUACGAGCUGCCUGCGCCGUGGCCUCACUUCUCUCGCCAUCCUUACCGCAUGGCACAUCUGGCGGCACCGCAACAGCUGCCUCUUUGAUGGCGUUUCACCGGCCGCUGGUCGAGCUGUGGCGAUGAUACGCGACGACGCCCGGCUGUGGGCUCGCGCUGGAGCCGCAGGGCUGGCCCUGCUCCUGCCCGAGUAG